GCAGAUCUCCAAACCAAGAUAAACCUGCCAACCAGUACAACAAAGGAAAACAGAAAAGUUCAUCCACUCUUUCUCAAUGGCUCAUGGCUUUCAGUAGUGCUGGUUUUAAUUGGUAUUGGUUUAUUUCUGCCUGGACUCAUAGGAUUCAUCUGUCUGUUCCGCUUUAGCAGUUCUGCUGAUGUUCUCACAGAGGUGAACUACGUCUCCUGCCAGAUGGAAACAACAUCUCUUUUAACUUCAUCUGUGUGCUCCUCAAAAAUGUUAAAUGUAAAUGAAAGCACCUGAGUGUCAUCUGUGGAGUUCAGUAAUGCCGAAUCAGUAAUAUUAAGAAAUAUUACAUCUAAUUAACAGUUCUUAAAAUACUUUUUAAAUCAAAUAUUGGAACAUAUACUGUACAUGUACACAAAGUUUCAGAAAGUUGAAAAAUUUCACAAAAUUAGCAUAGUGACUUACUUCUUUAUGUUGUAUUAUUUUCUCUAUCGAUUAAUGUUUUAUGCAUUGUUGAGCAAACAUGUACACAAUAAAGUGACUUUAAAGUGAAUAAUGUAUUCCACAGUCUUAAUUUGAUA